rnacentral:lncRNA from 1 species
AUUGAUUUGGAUUUGUGUUGCUGCAUGUUGGACUCCUGAAUUCAUUAUUAAAACCCCUGUUAACUCUGAUCCUUCGUCGUGCGCUUCAUUCCAAGCCAGCAGCAUCCCGUGACAGAAUGGCUAUGACCAAACAGUUGACGGCCAAGAAACGAGAGCAGAUUAUUGCGCUUCUGAAAAAGCAGAGGGAUGAGCGAAUUAAGCACUUUUUCCCUUGAGCCUCAGCAUUUCUUAGGGCAUCCUCGCCUAUAGAGGAGGAGAGGAAAGGAGGGGUGGGCUUCCUCAAGACUUUGAUGUCUCCCUGGGGAGCAGCCUGAUGAUUGUGGGGUGGUGGUGCUUUCUCCAACCCCUGCUGAGUACCUUACAAGCCUAAUACAAACUGCACUGAAAUUGUUUUAGUUGUGUUUAUUCAUUUUGGUGGCU